rnacentral:lncRNA from 1 species
CCUCCCGCUUCGAAUCCGUGACGGGUUGAAAAUAGUUAUUCCAUAAUCCGUCCCACCUUACAACCCGCCUCUCGCCGGCGCCCUGAAUCCGCCCCGCCAAAUAGUAUUUGUUUUAUAAAUUAUAAUAUUAUUAAUAUUUUAUAAAUAUAAAUCAACAAAAUUUUUAAUAUUAAUUGAUAAUAUUAUAAAGUUAUAUAUAAUUAAUAAUAUCAACUAUAAAAAUAAAAAAUAUCAAUCACAACUCGCAACAAAAUUUAAAAAUUUUAAAUACAUACAUAUGGAAAAAUUUUAAAGACAUACAUUUGGGGCAGAUUCGGGGUGGUUCAUGACGGGGCGGAUUCGGGGCGGAUCAAAAAUUUUCCUGUUUCCUGCCCCGAAUCCGCCACGGAUCAUAAAAAUUGUUCCGUUUCCUGCCCCGAAUCCGUUUAUUUCCUCCCGUUUACUGCUCCAUUCGGGGCGAAUAGGGGCGGAUCGGGGCGGGAGCUCCACCACCCGGAUUCAUUUGCAUCCUUAUCCGAUUGUUUUGAUGUAAGUGGAGUGAUGGAACUCAAGUUCCAUCACUUUUGUUAUUUGUUUUGGUGUAAGUGAAAAAUAUAAUGUAACUCAAGUUACGUUAGAACUCCACUUUAGCUACUCUCAACUUCCUCAUCUAAAGUGCCGAACUCGACUUCCACCACACUCAACCUCCUCUAAAAAAUUAAUUAAACAGUAAAACUUAAACUCUACUUCCUUUAUAAUGAGUUAGAAUUACGUUAUUUAUAAUAAAUUAGAAUUAUCUCUAAAUAAUAAUAAAAAAUUUAAUUAUAUAAUAAGUUAUAUUUUAUAGUUGUAAAUUUACUACUAUAUUUAGGAGAUAAUGAGAUUCACUUACUUGCAUCAAAAACAAAUAACGGAACUUAAAAAACUAAUGUUACAAGCACCAAGUUACAUCAAAACAAACAGAAGAAGUAAUUGAAUUUAACUUUCAGACUGUACGAGUUACGUCAAAAUAAAUAAUAAAAAAAUAAUCACACUUCAGAAAAAUUCAAAUAUCACUACACUUGACUUACGUUGGAUCUACAAAUUCAUCAAUCCAAACGCCCCACAAAGAAA